rnacentral:rRNA from 1 species
GAUGAACGCUGGCGGCGUGCCUAAUACAUGCAAGUCGAGCGAAUGGAUUAAGAGCUUGCUCUUAUGAAGUUAGCGGCGGACGGGUGAGUAACACGUGGGUAACCUGCCCAUAAGACUGGGAUAACUCCGGGAAACCGGGGCUAAUACCGGAUAACAUUUUGAACGGCAUGGUUCGAAAUUGAAAGGCGGCUUCGGCUGUCACUUAUUGAUGGACCCGCGUCGUAUUAGCUAGUUGGUGAGGUAACGGCUCACCAAGGCAACGAUGCGUAGCCGACCUGAGAGGGUGAUCGGCCACACUGGGACUGAGACACGGCCCAGAAUCCUACGGGAGGCAGCAGUAGGGAAUCUUCCGCAAUGGACGAAAGUCUGACGGAGCAACGCCGCGUGAGUGAUGAAGGCUUUCGGGUCGUAAAACUCUGUUGUUAGGGAAGAACAAGUGCUAGUUGAAUAAGCUGACACCUUGACGGUACCUAACCAGAAAGCCACGGCUAACUACGUGCCAGCAGCCGCAGUAA